ACAUAUUAAAAAUUAAAAAUUAAAAAUAAAUAAAUAAAAAUGGAUCCGCUGUACUGUCUUGUUCAAAUUUAGUAAACGAAUAAACCAUUCUCUCGCGAACCGCCAGAAAGAUCAACCAAAAUGAAAUAAAUAAAUGAAAAAACUCGGAAUCAGCGGAGAAAUAAAUUAUCAGAAUGCCUCCAUAUAUUUACAACAAUCGUACGGUCAAAUUCGAUUCCAGUAGCUGAAAGUCAUUUGAUUUAGUUCUCUUUUGGUAAAAGUAAAGCAUCAGAGCAAAUCUUCUGCGUGAUUGUUAGGCAGUGCUGGGGUUGGGUUUUUGGUUUUUUGCAGCUUCAUUGGAUUUCAUCGUUGAACAAACCUCCUCAACAACUGUCAAAGGACCCUUUUCUUUGAAAUUGAGAAAACUACUGUGAGCGCUCCAUGUGCUGGUGCUCAUUCAUGGACGUGGCAAAAUAUUUGUGCUUAUAAUUCUACUGGAUGGAUUGCAAGUUACAAGUGGUAGGAAUUCAAUCCCAACUUGAAAUGGGAUCAGUAGCUGUAAACAGAUCUGUGCAUGAGUUUCAGGAUGAGAGUCUUUUCAGCCCAGAGUUAGUGACCCAAAAGAUACAACCUAGUCAUAUAGCUGAAUGUGGAUCUGUAUCAGGUGGAUUUCAAGCUGGUGGCAGUGAGAGAUGGAGGAGAGAUGUCUAUAGGAGCAUAAAGACUGUAGUUUUUUCAAAUAAACUAAAUUUGCUUAUGCCCUUUGGGCCGCUUGCAAUCCUCCUUCACCAAUUACAUGGUCAUAAUGGAUGGGUCUUCUUUCUGAGUUUAUUGGGUAUAACACCUUUGGCUGAGCGUUUAGGUUAUGCUACAGAGCAGCUGGCAUUUUACACGGGACCUACAGUUGGUGGUCUUCUUAAUGCCACAUUUGGAAAUGCAACAGAACUGAUUAUUGCAAUUUAUGCAUUGAAAAGUAGAAUGAUACGUGUUGUUCAGUUGUCAUUGCUAGGCUCUAUUUUGUCAAACAUGUUGCUAGUACUUGGUUGUGCAUUCUUCUGUGGUGGACUUGUGUUUUAUCAAAAGGAACAAGUCUUUAACAAGGCAACUGCUAUUGUGAAUUCGGGAUUGCUCUUGAUGGCUGUCAUGGGGCUGCUUUUUCCUGCUGUCUUGCACUACACACACACAGAAGUGCAUUAUGGGAAGUCAGAGUUGGCUCUUUCAAGAUUUAGCAGUUGUGUCAUGCUUGUGGUGUAUGCUGCCUAUCUUUUUUUCCAGUUAAGGAGUCAAAAGGAUUUAUAUAUUCCUAUUGAAGAGGAAGGGAGUCAGAAUGGUGAGAGUACAUAUGACAAUGAUGAUGAAACUCCAGAGAUUUCCAAAUGGGAAUCAGUGAUUUGGCUUGGAAUUAUGACAGCCUGGAUCUCUAUUCUAUCAGAAUACUUGGUUGAUGCCAUUGAGGGAGCAUCUCAUGCAUGGAAUAUACCAAUUGCAUUUAUUGGUGUUAUCUUGCUUCCAAUUGUGGGGAAUGCUGCAGAGCAUGCAAGUGCUAUUAUGUUCGCAAUGAAAGACAAGCUUGAUAUUUCAUUGGGAGUGGCAAUAGGGUCAUCAACACAGAUAUCUAUGUUUGCAAUUCCUUUUUGUGUUGUUGUCGGUUGGAUGAUGGGGCAGCCUAUGGACCUGAACUUCCAACUUUUUGAAACAGCAGCUCUUUUCAUAACUGUUAUAGUCGUAGCCUUCUUUCUGCAGGAAGGAACCUCUAAUUACUUCAAAGGACUAAUGCUCAUUCUUUGCUAUGUAAUUGUUGCUGCAAGUUUCUUUGUGCAUGAAGAUCCUAUGGAGGAUAAACAAUUAAAACCAUAGCUAUCUAUUGUGGCAGCAAGUUUAUCACCGAGAUUUGGUCCAUCAUGUUGUUUUCAGCAAGCAAACGUGCACAUGCCUAGUACUCAUUACCCAGUACAACUCAAUUCGCAAAUCACGGUAACAAAUUAUGAAAUUGCCAAGAGCCGAGGAUGCAGGGCUGAUGAGGGGUGAAGUCAAGGCAAAGGAAAGGCAUGUCCGUCAAGCGUGGCUACGUUGAGGCUUUGUCGAGCGAGGCUUGAUUGGACGGAGGGAUAUUCUAAUUGGGUAGAUUUAAAAUUUAGACACUGAUUUUUCAAAUCUGGAGGAUGUGUUACUUUUGUUGAAAUCCAAACAUGAAAAAGUUAUUUACCUAAAAUUUAAUUAUGGUGCAUGAAAAUUUAUAUGGAAAA